rnacentral:rRNA from 1 species
UUCUUUUUCGUUAAGAUUGAAAAAUAAGCCCUGCUCAAUGAAAAUUUAAAUAGCUGCAUUCAUUUGCACUAAGGUAGCAUAAUCAUUUGUUUAUUAAUUAUAGACUGGAAUGAAAGGGUCCAUGGCUAAAAACUUUAUUUAUUUUAUUUCUUUAAUUUAAAAUUUUAUUGAGAAUGAUAAAAUGAAUCUUAGGGACAAGAAGACCCUAUAAAGCUUUAUAUUAUAAAUUGUUAUUCUAAUAAUGUUAAUAUUUUUUUGGGGCAAAAUUUUAUAUUAAAAUAAUAUAAAAAUUAUACUCAAGUAACUUCUUUUUAUUGGAUCCAAUAUGAUUGAUUAUUGAAAAAAGUUACUUUAGGGAUAACAGUAUAAUUUUUGUUUCAAAGUUCCUAUCUAAAACGAAGAUUAUAACCUCGAUGUUGAAUUAAUUUUAUUAGUAGGUGAAGAAGCUUGCUUAAUUGGACUGUUCGUCCACUAAUUAAUUAUA